rnacentral:rRNA from 1 species
UACGUAGGGUGCAAGCGUUAAUCGGAAUUACUGGGCGUAAAGCGUGCGCAGGCGGUUGUGCAAGACAGAUGUGAAAUGCCCGGGCUUAACCUGGGAACUGCAUUUGUGACUGCAUGGCUAGAGUGUGUCAGAGGGGGGUAGAAUUCCACGUGUAGCAGUGAAAUGCGUAGAUAUGUGGAGGAAUACCGAUGGCGAAGGCAGCCCCCUGGGAUAACACUGACGCUC